AGUUGUUGCAGUUAAAAAGCUCGUAGUUGGAUCUCAGAAGGACUUCAGUUGGUCGGCCUAACUGGUCAGAACCGGCUGUCUCUUUCUUGUUUCUGAAUCCCGCCUGAUGUUCAUUCAUCAGGUGUGGACUUCAGAUCGUUUACCUUGAAAAAAUUAGAGUGUUCAAAGCGGGCGUUUGCUUGAAUAUAUUAGCAUGGAAUAAUGGAAUAGGACCCUGGUCUUAUUUUGUUGGUUUUGAGGACUAGAGUAAUGAUUAAUAGGGAUAGUUGGGGGCAUUCAUAUUUAAUUGUCAGAGGUGAAAUUCUUGGAUUUAUGAAAGAUGAACUUCUGCGAAAGCAUUUGCCAAGGAUGUUUUCAUUAAUCAAGAACGAAAGUUAGGGGAUCGAAGACGAUCAGAUACCGUCGUAGUCUUAACCAUAAACUAUGCCGACUAGGGAUUGGGAGCGGUUUGUUCAUUGACCCUCUCAGCACCUUACGAGAAAUCAAAGUUUUUGGGUUCCGGGGGGAGUAUGGUCGCAAGGCUGAAACUUAAAGGAAUUGACGGAGGGGCACCACCAGGAGUGGAGCCUGCGGCUUAAUUUGACUCAACACGGGAAAACUUACCAGGUCCAGACAUAGGAAGGAUUGACAGAUUGAGAGCUCUUUCUUGAUUCUAUGGGUGGUGGUGCA
rnacentral:rRNA from 1 species